rnacentral:rRNA from 1 species
UGGGGAAUAUUGGACAAUGGGCGAAAGCCUGAUCCAGCCAUGCCGCGUGUGUGAAGAAGGCCUUUUGGUUGUAAAGCACUUUAAGCGAGGAGGAGGCUACUUGGAUUGAUACUCUAGGAUAGUGGACGUUACUCGCAGAAUAAGCACCGGCUAACUCUGUGCCAGCAGCCGCGGUAAUACAGAGGGUGCGAGCGUUAAUCGGAUUUACUGGGCGUAAAGCGUGCGUAGGCGGCUUCUUAAGUCGGAUGUGAAAUCCCUGAGCUUAACUUAGGAAUUGCAUUCGAUACGGGGAAGCUAGAGUAUGGGAGAGGAUGGUAGAAUUCCAGGUGUAGCGGUGAAAUGCGUAGAGAUCUGGAGGAAUACCGAUGGCGAAGGCAGCCAUCUGGCCUAAUACUGACGCUGAGGUACGAAAGCAUGGGGAGCAAACAGG